rnacentral:rRNA from 1 species
UACAGAGGGUGCAAGCGUUAAUCGGAAUUACUGGGCGUAACGAGCACGUAGGUGGUUAGAUAAGUCAGAUGUGAAAUCCCCGGGCUCAACCUGGGGACUGCAUUCGAAACUGCCUGGCUAGAGUUUGAGAGAGGGAAGUGGAAUUCCACAUGUAGCGGUGAAAUGCGUAGAUAUGUGGAGGAACAUCAGUGGCGAAGGCGGCUUCCUGGCUUAAAACUGACACUGUGGCGAGAAAGCGUGGGUAGCAAACAGG